rnacentral:lncRNA from 1 species
AUGGGCAAAGGGUUUUGGUGUGGGACAAGUGAAUUCUUUGGCACUUUGGGGUGCGUGAGUGUGUGUGAAGCUUCCCAGCCUCUGAUCGUGCAUUUCUCUGCAGAGCGAGAGGCAAAUCACAGGACUGGGAGUUUCCGUGCCAUAAUUUCUCAGUCCAGUGGCAGCAUCCCCGUACUGACAGCUCCCCUCGAGCCCUGCAGUCAUCCCAGUUACCGGGGUUACCCCUGGUGGUUAUUGGGAGCUUCUGACCGACAUCACUACAGUGAGAGUGGAGAGGAGGUUCCUUACAUCCUACCUUUGGGUGCUGCCACACUGAUGCACGCCACGCUGCUGCUCCCCGGUGGCAGAGGUGCAGCAUCACUUGGGGAGCAUCUGGUGUGUUCUCCACAUGGGACAGUCACGUGGCUUGGACCUGACUUCAGGAUGGAGACUGCAAGGAUCUCUCACUCUUCCCCAGUGGCUUGGAGCAAAAGCCAACAUGGUUAGGAGGUGACUCCAGCGUGACGGGAGGUUUGCCACCCCAGUGCCCUCUGAAGACAUGUAAGCAAGAGACAACACUGCCUCCUGAGCAUCAAGCAACUACUGAUGUUCCUUCAGCAAAGACGCCUGCCUCAAAGGUUGGUGAUGCAAAUGGGGUUUGGAAUGGUCUGUAACUGGCUACUGCUAAUCAAAGCAGAUUGCUGUUAGCUUAAACAGACUCUGACGCUUCCUGAAAAAUGUGUCCAUCUGUCUGCAAAGAGGUUCAAAGUAUGCUAGCGAGGAGAGCUGGCUUGAAAAACACUGUUGUCUCUCUGAACAUAAUUAUACUCUCAUUUCUCUGUUUUCAUGUGUUGUAAUACAGUGAACUUUAAGGAAUUUCAUGGAGACUGAGUUAGUAAAAUCCCAUCCAUCAGACUGAAGGAGUGUGGGCACAGGCAGGACACCCUGCCAUGUAUGAUGCCUCUGCUUGCCAAAAUAGUUUUUGCUUCCAGUGGGAAAAAGCCAGGUUUCCUUGUGGGACAAACAGCCUGUUUCAGUCACGACCUCUGGCCCAGAAACAGUCUUAAUGGUUCUUCUGUGUGGUAUUCAUCAUUACUAAAUAGCUGGCUUGAAAUGUAACUAAUUUCUUUCAUAAAAGUUACUGUAAGCUUGGUCCCUUCUGAACUAAAGCAGUUUUGAGCUAAACUGAAACAUGGGAAAACAGAGGAAAGCAAGAUGGUGAAAAAGCACACAUUUCAAAGGGAAGGUCUGCAGGUGUAAUUACCCUAUUGAUAAUUAUACUUCUCAGCCUGUUGCAAUGCACUCAAAACCACAGAUGACGGGGUGAAGGGAAGUGAACUAAGUCUAGACAGCAAGGGAUCUUUUAAGGGCAACUCAAAUGUGAGUUACGUUAAAGCAAGGUCUCUUAAAGGUGGGGAAUAUACUCCUGAUGUGCACAGGACAGGCCAAAGGAUUUGAAGGUGGGAAUGUGAUGUAAGGCUUUUGUUUGCAAGACUUUGAUAGGAGU